GAUGAACGCUAGCGACAGGCUUAACACAUGCAAGUCGAGGGGAAACGGCAUUAAGUGCUUGCACUUUUUGGACGUCGACCGGCGCACGGGUGAGUAACGCGUAUCCAACCUUCCCAUGACUAAGGGAUAACCUGCCGAAAGGCAGACUAAUACCUUAUGGUCUUCACUGACGGCAUCAGAUGUGAAGUAAAGAUUUAUCGGUUAUGGAUGGGGAUGCGUCUGAUUAGCUUGUUGGCGGGGUAGCGGCCCACCAAGGCAACGAUCAGUAGGGGUUCUGAGAGGAAGGACCCCAAGAUUGGAACUGAGACCCGGUCCAAACGCGUACGGGAGGCAGCAGUGAGGAAGAUUGGGCAAUGGGCGAGAGCCUGAACCAGCCAAGUAGCGUGCAGGAUGACGGCCCUAUGGGUUGUAAACUGCUUUUGUAUGGGGAUAAAGUCAAUCACGUGUGAUUGUUUGCAGGUACCAUACGAAUAAGGACCGGCUAAUUCCGUG
rnacentral:rRNA from 1 species